AAUAAUGAAAAUUACAUCCGACGUAAUUGCUAAACUUAUGUAAAAUAGAAGCAUGGAAACAAAAAUGAAACGUAAAAUUAUGUGUUCUCAGUCGCAAACUGAUAAAUUUCUUGUUCGACAAAUAAAACUCAAUAUUACAUCUGCGAAGAUUUAAAAUUCCAUUUUGUUUGAUGCACAUAACUGGAGCGUGCUUUUUGACGUAAUUUUGCGGCAAAUCAGACUCAAUUUUAAGUGCAUUUACGUUUUUCGCUUGACCGUGCACUGUGCAGUGAGAAGGCGGCCAUGUUUGAAUCCACAAAGAAAGAUGCGUUUGAACGAAAAGGUUUAGUUCCGCGAAACUUGUCCGGAAAAAUAAAAAAUCCAUUGCCAAAUAUUGGUAGAGCAUUGAAAAGUACAUCAUAAAGAUGUUUAAGUUUCCAUUGUUAAGAUUAUUCUGCCACCCAAUCCAGGACCGCAACUCUAGGUUCCUGCAGGCCAUGGCUAUGGCCAUUCCCGUUCUCAUUUUGGAAAGACAACGAAGUUCUUGGUCCCAUAGAAGGGGAUUUUGACGAAGUUCCGGAGCGACGUUCCGGUGACCAGAGGCAGAUUCCACCAGUCUUUUUCGGAAUACCUCGCUGUGGAAUCGAUUCCAGCUUUAUUUUUUAAAGCAAGCUUCUCCUGGCCUGGCCCCUGCCGGAACUGUUUCAGUAAGGAUAGCUUGAUUCGAUUGUCGGCAACUGACCAGAUCCGGAGUGCAGAUUGUCCACACACAAGAGCCUUGGCCACACAGAUCUUGUAGUAGAAGGAGAACGGUUUCGUGCCCCGUGCCAGUUUCGAACAGUUUGAGGCCGCCAGCUGAUGAACGGUUCGGAGGACGGGACGGAACAUGGACGGAUUAAUUUGGCGAAAACAGUCCUUCUGAAUGAAACAGAAAAAGUGACGUAGUUACGUUAUUGUCAGUUCUAGUGCAUGUUUCAUGAAAACCAUAGUGUAAUGUGUUAAUGAGCAUGAAAUAAAGAAAUAUUUAUUUAAAAACUUUUGUAGGGGAAG